rnacentral:lncRNA from 1 species
CCAGCAGUCCUGAGAGGAGCCACAGACCCUCUGAAGGAAGUGGACUGCUCCUGCAGGACCCGGGAGACCCCCGCAAAAGUCUGAAUGCAACAGCUCCUGGUUUCCUGCUCUGUGAGGAAUGGCUGGACCACAUCUCCUGCUGGUGACAAGUGUCAGAAGUAUUGAUUCUGCAACAAACUGAGAAGAAACCUGGCGAUUCACCACAGAUAGCUGAGAAACCCUAAGUCUGGAUUCCAGCUAAAUGGGAGCAGACUAAAUAGAGCGGCAGUCGGCGAAAUACAUGUAACCCAUGAACAAAAUCCGGUCCAGCACCUGUGUUUUUUUUAUGGCCCACAAAUGAGUCUGUCUUUACAGAUGAAUGUUAAAACUGGUUUGACGAGAGAGGACACUCACUUUGAACCCCAACUAAGCAAAAUAUUAUCACCUUUCCCCUCAAAAAAGUUUUUGUUCUUCUCAUUAGUAAAUUUGUAUUUGUAUUAUGACAAAA